AAGGGGUACAAGGAGGACAGCGUUUUAUUGCCUGCAUUACUGGGUUUCGCCUUAACUGGCAUGAUUCUAAUAAUUGCGAUCUGCUUGGUUGCACGCAACAAACGCGCCAUCGUCUCCUCGGUGCGCAUGCGGAAUCGCAAUGAUGUCGAAGAGGCCGGUGCGGAUGAUAAUACAACACUGCUAACCAACGCUAAUCUCUCCGAUGAGGACUAAACUAUGCAGCGCGUCUUUACUAGUUUGACUUAACGCCACUCUACUUAAAUAAAUGACACACAUACAUACAUACGUACCAAAGAGCUUACAUAACUAUAUGACGGCAUAAAAAAAUCCAAGUUUCGCCUGCUUCUAACCAAUAUCUGCAAAAUUCAAUAGUACGUAUGAGUGUGUGUGUGUGGCCAGCAUGGAAAGAAAAUGAAACGGAGCCACCUAACUAAGCACCCUCAACAAUUGCCCACGUUUUCAUUAAUAACGUUCGUGCGCAUACACA